rnacentral:rRNA from 1 species
UACGGAGGAUCCGAGCGUUAUCCGGAUUUAUUGGGUUUAAAGGGUGCGUAGGCGGCCUUGUAAGUCAGGGGUGAAAGACGGUAGCUCAACUAUCGCAGUGCCUUUGAUACUGCAGGGCUUGAAUGUACUUGAGGUAGGCGGAGUGUGACAAGUAGCGGUGAAAUGCAUAGAUAUGUCACAGAACACCAAUUGCGAAGGCAGCUUACUAAAGUAUGAUUGACGCUGAGGCACGAAAGCGUGGGGAUCAAACAGG